rnacentral:rRNA from 1 species
ACGGCCACACCUAGGCGAAAACACCAGUUCCCGUCCGAUCACUGCAGUUAAGCGUCUGAGGGUCUCGUUAGUACUAUGAUUGGAGACAACAUGGGAAUCCGGGAUGCUGUAGGCU